UACGAAGGGGGCUAGCGUUGCUCGGAAUCACUGGGCGUAAAGCGCGCGUAGGCGGCUUUUUAAGUCAGAGGUGAAAUCCUGGAGCUCAACUCCAGAACUGCCUUUGAUACUGGAGGGCUUGAGUCCGGGAGAGGUGAGUGGAACUGCGAGUGUAGAGGUGAAAUUCGUAGAUAUUCGCAAGAACACCAGUGGCGAAGGCGGCUCACUGGCCCGGUACUGACGCUGAGGUGCGAAAGCGUGGGGAGCAAACAGG
rnacentral:rRNA from 1 species